UUUUGCCUACGGGGGGCAGCAGUCGAGAAUCAUUCACAAUGGGGGAAACCCUGAUGCAGCGACGCCGCGUGAGUGAAGAAGUAGUUCGGUAUGUAAAGCUCUAUCAGCAGGGAAGAAAAUGACAGUACCUGACCAAGAAGCCCCGGCUAACUACGUGCCAGCAGCCGCGGUAAUACGUAGGGGGCAAGCGUUAUCCGGAUUUACUGGGUGUAAAGGGAGCGUAGACGGUUAUGUAAGUCUGGAGUGAAAGCCCGGGGCCCAACCCCGGGACUGCUUUGGAAACUGUGUAACUGGAGUACAGGAGG
rnacentral:rRNA from 1 species